rnacentral:lncRNA from 1 species
AGAGGAGCCGCCGCCCCACUUUCCCGGAGCUUGGGCGGAGAGGCAGGAAAACUUCCUGGCCGGGGCUCGGGGACGCUGGGUCGCCAGCCCCGCAGUCCCGCCUCCGGGUGCCACCCCUCCCCCGCGCCCCCAAGUGUCCGCCAUGGCCAAAGCCUACGACCACCUCUUCAAGCUGCUGCUGAUCGGGGACUCGGGGGUGGGCAAGACCUGUCUGAUCAUUCGCUUUGCAGAAGACAACUUCAACAGCACUUACAUCUCCACCAUCGGUGAGCCCGCCGCCGCCGCUCCCAGGCCCCCGACGCCCCUGCGCCCUCAUUUGCAGGCGCCUUAGUCGCCUUUAGGGCUCCUAAACGCAGCCCCUCCACCCCUGUCUCAGACCCAUCCCCCAUACAUAGCUGGGUACUCAGACCUCCAACCUCUCUGAGGCCUCCAGGUGACUCUGAGGCCAGCCUCUCCUUGACUGUCUUUCUAGUCUCCCCAAAUUCACAGGAGUCUUUCUCUUGGCCCUCUAGCUCCUCUUCCCCAAACCCUAUCCACAUAGGACUCUUCCUGAUUCCCCCUCCACCGUCCCUGACUUCUGUCUCUUUCUGUCCCACUGACCCUCCAGGCUCUCUCCUGGCAUCCCACCUUACCAUCCGUUCCCCAGUCUCCCUCCCCUCAGCUUAAUAGAGGAUUGGACAGAGGGGACGGGGUGACUGGGUGUGCUCAAAGACUGUGAUUGUGAAUAUGCGGCUGCCUGAUGAGGAAGGUGGGAAUGAGGGGACUUUUGGGGUCUCUGAGUCAGCCUGUUGAAUCAUCUGCUCCCUGGGGCCCCCAGCAGCCUAGGGGGAGGUGCCCAAGUUUCUGCUAAAAAGAACAUUGUCUCCUUUCCUCCCUUCGCCUUUCUUCACGUCCUCUGGCCUGGGAAGUAAGUCAGAGAGAUUCUCAAGACAAUUUUGGUUACAAAGGCAAAAUACCCCUCUGUCCUCUCUCAGUCUCAGGAGGAAUCCUGUGUGAGUCUCUUAGUCUCUCUUAGUUCCAAGCUUGGCCCACCAGUUAAUUCUCAUGGACUAAUGUCAACUUCCUUUUCCCUUAUUCUGUACCCUAAAGUGCCAGGAGGAUAGUGGAAUAUGAUAGUAGAAGGGUCUAGGGAGGCUCAGGCAGGAGGGUCACAAGUUCAAAGCCAGCCUCAGCAAUUUAGCGAGGCCCUAAGCAGCUCAGUGAGACCCUGUCUCUAAAUAAAAUAUAAAAAAGGGCUGGAGAUGUGGCUAGGUGGUUAAGCACCCCUGCAUUCAAUCCCCGGUACCAAAAAAAAGGGAAAAAAAAGUAGAGGGGGGUAGCUAAGGAACUGGAAAGAGGAAUGUGAAAAUAGUGGGAGGAAACAGAAACUUAAGUGGAAGAGUUGUCAGCUGGGGUGGCCUGAAGCCCUCUGCAGAAUUUUCAAAACCUCCUCCAUAAAAUCUAAUUAAAACAGUAUACUCACUAUACAAAUGCAGCUUUGGGGGAAUGUUCCUAGUUCUGUACUUCCAAGAGGUUGCUUGCCCGAGCGCCGCCUGCACUCCUUCCCGGGUCUCCACACAUCCCUGUGGAUGCACAGGCAUACACACACUCUCCGCUUCAGCGCACAACUUCUGCCCACAGGAAUUGACUUCAAGAUCCGCACUGUGGAAAUCGAGGGGAAGAAGAUCAAACUGCAGGUCUGGUGAGUGGAUCCCCCAGGACAUCUAACUAGACCUCCGGUUCGUCUCCUGGGACUCUUUCCUCCUGUUGGCUUCAUUUCUCUCCCUUUCCCUGCUGUUUCUUCUUCCAUUUCUCCUAAUUUAUGUAUCUUGCUUAUUCAGCUGUCCUUCCAUCUCUUCCUGCUCUGAUCCUUUUCGGCCCGUAAUUCUCAUUUCCCCCAGUCCAGAGCAUUCUCUGCUGUUCUGUUUUUUGUUUUUUCUUCCUUUCAGUACUGGAUUGACCCAGGAGUGCUUUACCACUGAUACCACUGACCCAUAUCCCCAGCCCUUUUUAUUUUUCAGUUUGAGACAGGGUCUCCCUAAGUUGCUGAGGCUGGCCUCAAACUUGUGAUCCUCCUCCUGCCUCUGCUAGAGGAUUUUUUUUGAUCUUAAAGAGCAGAUCAAGAGCUGGGAUGUAACUCCAGUGAAGUCCUUACUUCACAUGCAGGAAGUCCCCUGCUAAAAAAAAAAAAAAAGACAGUUAGAUGGCUGUUAAGAAAUGGUAGGCACCCAAGAAACAAGAUCUCUUGUUUACUCAUUGAAUGCUUCCUCUAUGCUAAGCACUAAGUAUCAUUUUAUGUUUUAUGUGUAUGUAUCAUUUUAUCUAAUCCUCACUCUUUGUGAGACAUAUUUUAUUGUCCCCAUUUUACAAAUGAGGAAACAGAUUUGGAGAGGCUGGAUAACUAAUGAAGGUCAAACGGAAAAGGUGAGUAACGGAAAGGCAAAGACUCAUAGACAGGAUCUUGCUAAAUUGCUGAGGCUGGCCUUGAACUUGUGAUCCUUCUUCCCUAGCCUCCUGAGUCACUGGAAUUAUAGGCGUGGGCCACUGUGCCCAGCUGAUCUAUUCUUUUUAGCCCCACCAUGUUGUAGAAGCUAAUUUCUCUGGUGGGAAGGAGUCUCCUAGGGGGAGACUCCUUCUGUCCCACCCAUGAAAUCUUCUCGUUCUUCAGGGACACAGCUGGCCAAGAGCGAUUCAAGACAAUAACUACUGCCUAUUACCGUGGGGCCAUGGUAUGAUGUGUGGUUCUGGACAAGGGCUGAGGGCGUGAGACAAGAGAAUAUAGGUUUAUGAGAACAGAGGGCCAGGGGUUGGGGAAGGGAAAGUGGGGCACGCAGUGUGGGCCACAAACUGCCCCACAUGACCAAGAGUUUAGACUCAUGGAUGGGACUUCUGGGGUCAUUUAGAGGGUGUUGGGGAGCCUACAUGGGAAUAUGGUCCAAGGUGAACUUUGUCGUCUCCCAGGGUAUUAUCCUAGUGUAUGACAUCACUGAUGAGAAAUCCUUUGAAAAUAUUCAGAACUGGAUGAAAAGCAUCAAAGAAGUAAGAACCCUCCAGACGAGAUGGGGGAAGUGGGUAGAUCAUGGAGGAUGAAGGGGCUGUGCGGAAAGGCAGGGCCACUGUCACUGGUCUUACACUUCUGCCCCCAGAAUGCCUCAGCUGGAGUGGAGCGACUCUUGCUGGGGAACAAGUGUGACAUGGAGGCUAAGAGGAAAGUGCAGAAGGAGCAGGCCGAUAAGGUGAGAGCCAGGCUGGGCCGGGUUCUACAACUGCACCGUGAACACAUGAACACAUCGCAAGGCCCAAUUGCAGGGGGCUUGGCUGCAGCCCCUUUUCUCCAGCUUUCUCCUUCUCGUUUCACCCUACAGUUGGCUCGAGAGCACGGAAUCCGAUUUUUUGAGACAAGUGCCAAAUCCAGUAUGAAUGUGGAUGAGGUGAGACCUGCCUCCCCUCCCUCCUCAACCACCACCAAGACGUGGAAUCUUGAAAGGUAGACGCAUCCCCCCCCAGUCUGUUCUGACCAAUCUCCCCUUUAGGCUUUCAGUUCCCUGGCUCGGGACAUCUUACUCAAGUCUGGAGGCCGGAGAUUGGUGAGUUGGAUCUGCUGGCUGGGUCCCACUGGCCGUGUGUGUCUUGGGAGGAGAGCCAUGCUAGAUUCCCAGGAGGGGAGAAAGAAAGCUCCCGUUUAUUCAUAGGCCAGCCAGCCCUCCCAUCCUGACCUCUGCAUCCUUCUCCCUCCAGGGGAACCAUCACAAGCCCCCCAGCACUGACCUGAAGACCUGCGACAAGAAGAACACCAGCAAGUGCUCCCUGGGCUGAGGACCCCCUGUGGCCUUCCCACCCUGAGCCUGGAGGUGGAGCCGGGGAAGCCAGGGCUGAGGGACUGCACAGGGAGGGGGGCAGCGGUGCCUGAAAGGCAGGUUGGUGGUGAGGAGCCUAGGAGAAGACAGAGAAGGGAAAGAAGGAAACCAGGGGCCAGGAGAAGUGCAGGAAGGAACAGAGGAAGUGAAGGAAGGUGAGGGGGAGGAUGAGAGGGAGGAGGGAGGAAGGGUAGGACAGAUAGCCUCAGGCCGUGGACUUUUUCUGGUUUUUUAGGUCACGAAUAUAUGUAAAUAUAUCGAUUUAUUUUGAUACUCGAUCAGGUUUUCGAGUCCUGUGAGAGGCUGGCUCAGCCCUACUCUCUGAAGGUUUGUCACGCUGCAUGGUCUUCCUCUGUAUUAAAGGCCAUUCUUUGCACAAAUGUCCCCCUGUUUGGGAAACUUUCAUUGUUGUCACUCAAACCCAGGUCUUACCUCUCCCGCGUUGGUUCCCUGGAGUCUGGCUGGGUGCAUCUCUCCCUUUCCCAGAUGUUUGGCUGGUGAGGAAGACAGCGGAGCAGGAGGCAGAGUGACCUGAGGGACUGAACCCCCUCUUUCCAUCGUGGGGUUUCAGGACUAAGGAUCACUAUGAUCAUAGCCUUGUCCUUAGCACAGGAAAUUCCAAGAGAGGACUUGAUGAGCCCUAGCGUCAGGGACACAACAGGACCUGGUAUGGCUUAGCAGUGAUUAAUGCAAGCUUCUUUGACACCCACCCGCCUUUUCUUUUUGAGGGGCCUGAACUCAGGGCCUUGAUUGUGCUAGACAAAUGCUCGGCCACUAAGCUAAAUCCCCAGCCUCCAUGCUUCUUUGAUUUUGCCAGAAAUCUGUUUAGGUGUUUGGUAGGCAUUAUUAGCUGCUUUUAUAGGGGAGGAAAAUUAGACACAGGAGAGGUUUAUGUAUCCAUAAACAUUUAUUGAGCGUCUAUGUUUCAGGCACACAGUCAGUUAACAUAGCUCUCGGGUGGUGUUUUUUUUUUUUUGUUUUUGUUUUUCUUUUGGUACCAGGGAUUCAACCCAGGGCACUUAACCACUGAGCCACAUCCCCAGCCCUUUUACUUUUCAUUAUUUUUGAGCAGAGCCUCACUAACUUGCUGAGGCUGACUUUGAACUUGUGAUCUUCUGGCCUCAGCCUCUGGAGUUGCUGGGAUUACAGGAGUCUCUGGGAUUAUAGGCAAGCACCACCACUACUAGCCCUUAGGUGGUUCUUACAGGCAGAGAAAUAAGCAAAUUUUAAUAAAAACAGUUAACUCUUGGGGGGUGAGGGAGAGACACACGCCAAAAUUAUCAGCAUGCAAAAGAAAAACCACCAAAACUUUCAGGCUUGAUAUAUUGCCCCCUUAAGUACACAUAGCCGCCCUCCCUUUCAAUGAUACUGGGAAUUGAACCAAGGGGCACUCAACCCCUGAGCUAUAUCCUCAGCCAUUUUUAGUUUGGAUUUUGAGACAGGGUCUAGAUAAAUUGUUCAGACUAGCCUUGAACAAUUCCUGCUCCAGCCUCCCAAGUAGGAAUCACAAGUGUGCACCACCAUGUCCAGCUCAGUAUUUUUUAAAACUGCAGAUUUUUUUUUGGGGGGGGGGCGGGUAGUGGGGAUUGAACCCAGUGGUGCUUAACCACUGAGCCACAUCCUCAGCUCUUUUUAUUUAUUUUUUUUAUUUUGAGACAGGAUCUCACUGAGUUGCUUCGGGCCUUGCUAAAUUGCUGAGGCUGGGUUUGAACUUGCAACCCUGUAAUCCCAUGGCCUCCUGAGCCCCUGGGAUUACACCCACUGCACCUGGCUUGAUAUUUUUCCUUUCCUCCCUCCCUCCCUCCCUCCCUCCCUCCCUCCCUCUCCUCUCCUCUCCCUUCCUUGCUUGCUUGUUUUCUUUUCUUUCUUUCUUUGCUGGUGAUGAAACCCAGGGCCCUCUAAGUGCUGGGAAGGGGCUCUACCACUGAACAACAUCUCCAGCUCUGGACUUCAUCUUUUAUUAAGAUCAAUGAAAAUGUCACAUUUGCUUUGAACAAAAUAAAUGUACCACUUGAAGUGUUGAAUAUUCAAGUGUUAUUCAAGCUGUCAAGACUGACAGCUUCAUCAUACCCCCAAACAGAUAUUUAAAAAUUCACUUUCAGAGCAGAUAUCCAAGUUGGUUGGUUUCUUUUCUUUUUUAGAUAAAUUUUUUGGUACCAGGGAUUGAACUCGGGGGCACUCAAGCACUGAGCCACAUCCCUAGCCCUAUUUUGUAUCUUAUUUAGAGACAGGGUCUCACUGAGUUGCUUAGUGCCUCUCCAUUGCUGAGGCUGGCUUUGAACUCUUAAUCCACCUGCCUCAGCCUCCCAAGCUGCUGGGAUUACAGGCAUGCACCACCAUGCCUGGCCCAAGUUGGUUUCUUGCUAAGUUUAUUGGAAGUGAAAUCUUAUAAGAUCACAGGGGUUACCCAGGCUCAAUGGUACAUGCCUAUAAUACCAGAGACAGGACAGCAAGUUUGAGGCCAGCCUAAGCCCUAAGCAAUUUAGCAAGACCCCACCUCAAAAAAUAAAUAAGUAAAUCAGGUGGGGGAUGUUGCUCAGUGGUAAAGUACCUCUGGUUCAAUUCCCAGUGCAAAAAAAAAAAAAAAAAAUCACACAGAACAACUUUCCAUGAGAUAAAGUAGAUGUAAGAUUACGCUAAGGAAUAACAAAUGCUAGCAUAGUGGGCCCACUGACUCUGGAGGCUGAGGCAGGAGGGUUAUAAGUUCAAGGCCAGCCUCAGCAAUUUAGUAAGAUCCUAUCUCAAAAAAUAAAGAGGGUUGGGGAAUGUACUUCAUGGAUAAAGUACCCCUGGGUUCAAUCCCCAGUACUGAGAAAAUAAAAACUCUAUCCUACCUAAAAACCAGGGGAAAAAAGCCACAACCAAUUUUCUGUAAUGUAUAAACAUGAGACACAUGGGGCGUGAUUAUUACAAAUCAAGGUAGCCAUGCAGUCCUUGGUUACCAGGUCUUGUGAUCAUGCUGGAAAAUUUUCAGAUAUGUUGCUAAGAGUACCUGGUAUGAGAAGGGAUAGGAAAGAGGGGAAAGGGGACACUAAUAUAUAUAUAUAUAUA